rnacentral:rRNA from 1 species
AUCCUGGCUCAGAUUGAACGCUGGCGGUAUGCUUAACACAUGCAAGUCGAACGGCAGCACGAGGAGAGUUUACUCUCUUCGGUGGCGAGUGGCGGACGGGUGAGUAAUGCAUAGGAAUCUACCUUUUAGUCUAGGAUAACUACCCGAAAGGGUGGCUAAUACUGGAUGUGGACUACGGUUUAAAGCAGGGGACCUUCGGGCCUUGCGCUAAGAGAUGAGCCUAUGUGGGAUUAGCUAGUUGGUGAGGUAAUGGCUCACCAAGGCGACGAUCUCUAGCUGGUUUGAGAGGAUGAUCAGCCACACUGGGACUGAGACACGGCCCAGACUCCUACGGGAGGCAGCAGUGGGGAAUAUUGGACAAUGGGGGAAACCCUGAUCCAGCAAUACCGCGUGUGUGAAGAAGGCCCUAGGGUUGUAAAGCACUUUUGUUAGGGAGAACGGGUCUUACUAAAUAAUGACUAGUAGGAUU